rnacentral:rRNA from 1 species
CCCCUAGAUGUUCUGGGCCGCACGCGCGCUACACUGAACAGUUCAACAAGUCUUAACCUUGGCCGAUAGGUCUGGGUAAUCUUUGAACGCUGUUCGUGAUUGGGAUAGACCUUUGCAAUUAUGAGUCUUCAACGAGGAAUUCCUAGUAAACGCAAGUCAUCAGCUUGCAUUGAUUACGUCCCUGCCCUUUGUACACACCGCCCGUCGCACCUACCGAUUGAAUGGUCCGGUGAAAUCUCCGGACUGGCGUGAGUCGGAGCAAUCUGACAAACACCGGAAAGUUGAUUAAACCUUACCAUUUAGAGGAAGGUGAANUCGUANCA